UCUAAAUUUUCCAAACCCUCGACACUUUCUCACUGGCUCUUUGUUCUUUUAUCUCUUGUGGUUUCUUCUAUUCAGUCGCUCCUUGGCAAGAUUCCUCUUGCGGUGACAGUGCUCCUCAGUUCCUCCUCCUACGAUGACAUCCCCAGAUCAGUGAUUUUGAAUUGAAUUAUAUUUAUUGAGGCACUUGGGGUUGAGCUAAAGGAGAAAAUAUUUCCCCCAGGAUUCUUUGAUUCCAUGGAACACUUACCAAUUCAUCUUCCAUAUGAAGCAAUGGUUGGUGGUCCGGUACAAUAUUGAUGGAUGUAUCCAUUUGAGAGGGUUUUACAUGACUUGAAAAAGAUGGUAAAAAAUAAAGCUCGUGUGGAAGGUUCAAUUUGUGAAGCUUACUUGAUGCAAGAAAUUUCAAACUUCUAUUCAUAUUAUUUUCUUCCUCACAUUGAAACCAAGCUAAGCAAAGUAGGUAGAAAUGAUGAUGGUGGUGAGGUUACUGCACCAGAUGGAUGCCUUUCAAUAUUUACUCAUCCAGGUCGGGCUAGUGGAAAGAUGUGUAAAAGAAUUUUUGAAGAUCAAUUGGUGGUAGAAAAUCCCAACAUAACUGAGGAAGAGAUUGAGAGGAAGACAAACAAUGAGUUUGCAAAGUGGCUAAAUACAUAUCAAUGCCUAAAGGAAGAGGUCAAAGAGGAAUAUUAGAAGGUAGAGGAUGCAAACAUGCUGAAAGGAGUGAAGAUAAUUCUAGCACACCAUGUAGCCAAGAGUAUUCAGAAGAAGUUGUGAACACACAUGCUGGAAGUGUUCGACCACACUUAUGUGUUGUUGGGAAAGGGGAUUCGUAUGCUUAUAAAAAUUUCAAUCCCUAUUCUAGAUUUAUUUUCAAAAAUGUAACUUAAAAGCAUUUUAUUUUGCAGGUUAUCCCCACAUGAUGCAGUUCACGAUAUCACCAGAAUAUUUAAAAAAUCAUUCUCAAGUGCCUGGCUCACUUGGACUUCCAUCCUAUCUCAUGUUAGAGACCAAUGACUUGACGAACUAAAUGUAUGUUAAUUCUUCAUUUUUAAUUGUCAUGGAUAAAUCUGGAAAAACAUGGAUAACCUGAUCCUUGGGACCAUUUAGCUUUAAUUGUCCUUUUCUGUUACACACACACAUGGUGCAUUCUUGUAGUAUUAUGUUGGCCUUUUUUUAAAACCCCCUUUUCUAUAUAUGCACAGUUCCACUCUAAUAAGUCAAGUUAGUCAUGUUGCGUGUUUAACUUUAGUGUUUCAUUUUAUCCUAACUAAUUUUGGAUUAUUUGUUCGAGUUCAAGUCUUACUUGGAUCAAGAAAUUGGUGUUUUAAAGUGACUAAAAAUAGGACGUUGGCUUAUGCUGACCAUAAAAUACUGGUUUUGUAUUCAGCAGCCACAAGAAGUAAGAACAAUAUAGUUUGAAGUUUAUGUUAUUCCUCUUCUCCUUUUUAUUAUUCUCUUAGAAUAUACAAACAUAAAGCUCCUUGUUUUCCACUUGAAUACUGGGAGAAAAGUAAAGAAGGUAGAAACACUAGUUUACAUAUGCAUAAAACCUCAACAAUAAGUCACCAUAGAUUAGAACCACCAGAGGUGCAUGUAUAACUACACUUGAUUGACGUCAAGACCUGGUAAAAAGGACCAAAAGGGUAAAAGUCAUACUCUUUAUCCACUGCAUCCGCAUUUGGAAUUGGAAAUGGUGGUUCAAUUUCCCAAUUUUUUGUGUACAGGGUACUGUCAGUAGUUGCCUUAGUGAUAAUCUACAAUAAGGAUGAAAAAUCUAAUAAAAUUAUAGAGACAAAGUACAAACAUAAACAAUCUUUCAAAUGAGUUUGCAUAUUAUGCUAAAGUUCAAUAUGAAGAAGCUGUGUACUUUUACUUUCCUUUAUAUCUCUUAUCUGAUUGUCAUAUACUAGUAUCCUUUAUGUUGUAUUUCUGUUCCUACUUUUCCGCUACUGUUAGGAUAAGUUUUAUUUUAUUCAAUUUUGUAAGCCUAUCUCUUGGGAUCUUAUAGGAAAUAAUUAAGGAAAAUAACUUGUUUAUUUUGUUUUGUAAAUAAAGUAAAACUAACAUUCAAACAUAAGUACUCAACUCUUGAGUUUGAUAUAUUUCAGCUGCUUUUCUCUCUUCAUUAUCUAUAUUGUGUACAUGUAUUGGUGUAUUCUUAUAUUGCUUGCUCUUUGUUCCUUACUCUACUAUUAGACUAUUUUCUAUAACUUUUGAGCUUAUGUGCUACUUUUAAUUUAGAGAUUAUAUCAUUGGGAGGAAAAUGAAACAAAGAUAAUAAGAUAUGCCUUUAAAGCCAUUGGCUCUAGACGACUCAGUGAUAUUCUUGGUAAAGAAAGGAAAAAGCAUAGGGAAAAUGAAAAUUAUGUUCCCAAUUGGAUAAGUGGAGCUCACUGGAAUGAACUUGUGCAAUAUUGCAAUACCCCAAAAUCCAAAAAGAUUUCAACAAUCAAUUCAAACAAUAGAUUGGCAAAUCCAUCUCUUCAUACAGGAGGAUAUAUUCCCACACAUUUGCAUGCUGCAAAAUUGGAAAAAAGCACUGGAAAGAGAGUGAUGUUGUCCCAAUUAUAUGUGGCUACACAUAAGAAAAAGAAAGACAAUUAAUGGGUUGAUGAGAAAUCAAAAAACACUUAUGUGACAUUCAAGAAACAUAUUCAACAAGCUAUUGGAAUUUUUGAAGAAAUUAUUGAGGAGGAAGAUGGACAACAAGGAAAUAGUGAUGCUGCUGUAGGACUUGAAAACGAACAUGCAGGGGAACAGCCAACCCAACAAGUUGCAGAUGAUGACCUUCUUCAAACUCAAGCCUCUCUCCCUUUAGAAAAAGUGGCUCAAGCAUGGUUGAAGGCUAUCGGGGGAAAAAAGUGGUAGAGUUUAUGGAUUGGGAUCACAUGCUGUUGUAGUAUGUGGCUUUGCUGGCAACUCUGUAUUCCACAUUAACAAUGCUCCAUCUCCUGCUGCUCCCUAAUCUACAACUGUAAAUAAUGUUGUUCAAAUGCCUGUAUUUGAAGAAGCUGUUAACCGUGCUGUAGAAGUAAGGGUACAACAUGUUCUUGAAGAAAAGAUGAACCAAGCAUUAGAUCAAA